AGUGAACGCUGGCGGUAGGCCUAACACAUGCAAGUCGAACGGCAGCACAGUAAGAGCUUGCUCUUACGGGUGGCGAGUGGCGGACGGGUGAGGAAUACAUCGGAAUCUACUUUUUCGUGGGGAUAACGUAGGGAAACUUACGCUAAUACCGCAUACGACCUACGGGUGAAAGCAGGGGAUCUUCGGACCUUGCGCGAUUGAAUGAGCCGAUGUCGGAUUAGCUAGUUGGCGGGGUAAAGGCCCACCAAGGCGACGAUCCGUAGCUGGUCUGAGGGGAUGAUCAGCCACACUGGAACUGAGACACGGUCCAGACUCCUACGGGAGGCAGCAGUGGGGAAUAUUGGACAAUGGGCGCAAGCCUGAUCCAGCCAUACCGCGUGGGUGAAGAAGGCCUUCGGGUUGUAAAGCCCUUUUGUUGGGAAAGAAAAGCAGCAGGUUAAUACCCCGCUGUUCUGACGGUACCCAAAGAAUAAGCACCGGCUAACUUCGUG
rnacentral:rRNA from 1 species